GCCUUUACUGACGCUAAAGCUCGAAGGUGCGGGUAUCGAACAGGAUUAGAUACCCUGGUAGUCCAUGCCGUAAACGAUGAUUACUAGGUGUGGGGGGACUGACCCCUUCCGUGCCGCAGUUAACACAAUAAGUAAUCCACCUGGGGAGUACGGCCGCAAGGUUGAAACUCAAAGGAAUUGACGGGGGCCCGCACAAGCAGUGGAGUAUGUGGUUUAAUUCGAAGCAACGCGAAGAACCUUACCAGGUCUUGACAUCCUGAGAAUCCUUAAGAGAUUAGGGAGUGCCUUCGGGAACUCAGAGACAGGUGGUGCAUGGUUGUCGUCAGCUCGUGUCGUGAGAUGUUGGGUUAAGUCCCGCAACGAGCGCAACCCUUGCUAUUAGUUGCUACGCAAGAGCACUCUAAUAGGACUGCCGUUGACAAAACGGAGGAAGGUGGGGACGACGUCAAAUCAUCAUGCCCCUUAUGACCUGGGCUACACACGUACUACAAUGGCCAUUAACAGAGGGAAGCAAAGCCGCGAGGUGGAGUAAACCCCUAAAAAUGGUCCCAGUUCGGAUUGUAGGCUGCAACCCGCCUACAUGAAGUGGAAUGCUAGUAAU
rnacentral:rRNA from 1 species